UUUAUUUGACGUGGUUGACUUUUGAGUCUACGUUUGACCAUUUGUCUUAUUUAAAAGAUUUACAUAAUUAUUAAUUAUUUUGUUGUCAUUUGAUUCAUUGCUAAAAGCACUUUAAGCAUGACUUAUAAUCACAUUUGCACAAAAAUUUGAAUAAGACAAACAGUCAAAUGUAGAUCCAAAAGUCAACGGAAUCAAAUAAA
rnacentral:pre_miRNA from 1 species